ensembl:lncRNA
GUCUUUGUUAACCGCUCAACACAGAAUAUCUGCAUGUGCAACACUUCCUCCAAUCGUUUGGAGAAAAUGUCCUCUCUAUUUCAUUCAGAUUUGUUCAAUUAUAUUGUAAAAUAAUAAUUAAAUAAUGCCACGGAAUUCUAAGCAAAUCUUGUCUGCUAAAUGAACUAGUGUAGCCCACAGCCAUAUGGCACAGCCAGAUCAGGGCCUAACAUAAGGACAACUCAGAGGAUGCUAUUCUGUUCUUCUGAAAUAGACUACAUUUUCUUCAUAUCAUGUUUCUUUAGACCCGUCUAAAAUAAAUAAUGGAUUUAUUGUGAAGGUGUAGACUAUAUUACAUGGAUUUAUUGUGGAGGUGUAGACUAUAUUACAUGGAUUUAUUGUGAAGGUGGAGGCUAUAUUACAUGGAUUUAUUGUGAUGGUGGAGGCUAUAUUACAUGGAUUUAUUGUGAUGGUGUAGGCUAUAUUACAUGGAUUUAUUGUGAUGGUGUAGGUAGACUAUAUUACAUGGAUUUAUCGUGACGGUGUAGGUCGACUAUAUUACAU